rnacentral:piRNA from 1 species
CACUGUACUUCCCAGAUAUUUUCUAC